rnacentral:tRNA from 1 species
GCCUUCGUAGCUCAGGGGACAGAGCGAGGGUUUCCUAAACCCUAGGCCGCAGGUUCGAAUCCUGCCGAGGGCACCA